UACAGAGGGGGCAAGCGUUGUUCGGAAUUACUGGGCGUAAAGGGCGCGUAGGCGGCCUGUUAAGUCGAACGUGAAAUCCCCGGGCUCAACCCGGGAACUGCGUCCGAUACUGGCAGGCUUGAAUUCGGGAGAGGGAUGUGGAAUUCCAGGUGUAGCGGUGAAAUGCGUAGAUAUCGUAAGGAAGACCAGUGGCGAAGGCGGGUCUCUGGACAGUUCCUGACGCUGAGGCACGAAGGUCAGGGGAGCAAACGGG
rnacentral:rRNA from 1 species